GUAAAAACCCUCUUUUUCUCAUAAGUUCGUAAAACUACAGCUAGGGGUGCUAUAAUUAAAAAGAAAACUUUCCAAUUUUCUAAGUUAAUUAGCUCCGGCUCUAUAGCACGGAUCGGGCUGAAAUUUUGGUAGAGGGAGCGGAUUGAGCUAAAAAUUCUUCAUGAAUCUCUCUUAAACAUGCCUAAGAAACUUACUUAUGUUAUAAAGAAUAAGGUAAAUACCAAUUAUUAAAGCAUUCUUAUUGAUUAGGUUUUUUAAAUUUUCAUUUUAAAAAAAUUGAAUGAAUUUCGCUCUAAAUCAUCCAAAAAUUUAAUAUUUGGCUGGCGUACACGCACGAACGCAAAUGCACGAGGGUCAGUGUAUUGUGUUCUUCAAAUGACGUGAUUUGCAUAAAAUAAAUAAUAUUACUUUCUAUAUGCAUUGAUUAUAACAAUUAAUAAUUUGAAUGAAAUUUAUAUUUAUUUAGAAUGAAAAACCAAUCAAAUCUAAUACUAUUUUUUGAAUCAAUAGCAUAAGUAUUUGAAAAAAAGGAAACUACAUUCAGAUCUAUGACUGAUUCCAUCAGUACGGAAAACAUUAAAACGAGUCAGUCUUGAAGAAGCCGCUGAGUUGAAAAGUUGUCACACAAAUUAUUUCCAAUCUAUUUGAAAAUGAAAAAAAACUAAAAAAUGGUUACAGUGGAUAAGUAAACUUAUAAAGUUGCAAAAAUCAUCAAGUGAUCGACAAAGAAAUUUGAUAAAGUGUUGGAAAUCGUUAGAUUGGGUAAGUAAAAAAAUGUUUGCCAGAAAAGUAUUAACCAUAUUCGGUAAAUUAAAUUAAAUUUAUUUCUUCUUUUAAGCUAAAAUGGAAUGUCAAACUUUUUAUUAUUUUAUUUAAAUUUAAAAUUCGUCGUAAGAAUUUUUUAUUAUUUAAUAUUUUACUAACGAUUUGUAAUUUUCGAUAUUGUUCAAGUUCAAUCGAUCAUCCUGAUUGCAAGUCAUUGUUGAUUGGAAACGUCCGUGAGCAGAAGCUGGAAAAUUAUCACCAUAUCUGUUUUAUCGAACUACUUUUCUUCAAAAAUUCCAUCUAGGAGAGACCUAAAUAGUAUCAAGGACAAUCAUUGUCUUUUCCAUGGAAUUGGAAAAGUGAUUCGCAGAUAGCAGCAGAACUCAGAGCAAACAGUAAAGGACGUAAAUCUGCAAAACACAACUUAGAAAAGUGAGCGCUGUAAUAAAAGUAGACGAGGAGCACUACCACUGAUCAAAUUUCAUUAUGUCAUCGUUUAUCUUUACGGGGCAAAAGACAAUCAGUCUUUUGAAGUAUCUUAUUUCUUCUGAAACUGGUAAACACUAUUGGGAGAAAGCAGAAGAGCAUACAUCCAAAAGCUGAGAAGAAGACUUCACGAAACUACUAGAAAGUCGUGCAACACCCCAUAGAAAUUAAUGUAAUACAAUUUUAUUGUGAAUACACAUUAUUUAUGUCAAAUAAAUUUAUUUUUGAAAUCAUAGCAAGAGUUUUUUAAAUAUACCCUGGUACUGUUAUAUCUACCCGAGGAUAUUAUUUGAAUUAAUGUGGACGAAUAUCAAAGCAAACAUAUUUGCCAUUGAAUCUAUGGUAAAGAACAUUUAAAUAUACCAAGGAAAUUUUUAAUUUUACCCAUUGUGUAUUUAAAUUAAUGGUAACUCGUAGUUAAAACAAAUAUUUCUACUAUUGAAACUAUGGUAGUGUUACCCAGAAAUUUUUGAUUCUACCCAUGAAAGUGUUUAAAAUCCACUUUAGAAAUAAAGUGCAAAUGUAUUUGAUUUAAAAGACAUGUUUUCUUUUCAAAUACAGUGCCAUUCAAAAUAAAUACAAAUAUAUUUGUUGUGGCUAUGAUUACUGCCUUUCAGAUCAAAUGUAAAAAUAUUUGAAGUAAAAGUCGUCUGUAUUCAAAUCAAAUAAAACAUUAGAAACAAAUGUAUUCUACCAUUGGGGCCAAAAUACCCAUAAUUUCAUUUGAUUUUACCCAGAAAAACAUUAAUACUACCCAUAAAA